rnacentral:lncRNA from 1 species
UCGUCGAGAGGGAAACAGCUCGGAUCACUAGCUAACGUCCCUAAAUGACCGCUCAGUGAUAAAGGAGGUAGGGUGCAGAGACAACUAGGAGGUUUGCCUAGAAGCAGCCACCCUUAGUGCGUAAUAGCUCAGUGAUCGAGGACUCUUGCACCAAAGCUAUGGGUUGUCAAGGGACGAUAAGAUCAACCGAACUCACUCUUAACCAAUAGUAACAAAGAUUCUAAAUUUGCAUCCAAAAAAUAAAUGAUUUGUUGACUCUCUAAUAUCCGAAUAAGUAACAAAUAUUGUUCUCGGUCGCUAUCUCUCGUCUCUCCAAAUUUAUCUUAGAAACUACCUUAUUUUUAAUAACCCUCCAAAUUGUCACGUGAGUCGAAAGAACUCCUUUUGCUUUCGUCGUCAAUCAACUCCACCUCACCCCUCAUCAACCUGCACUGUCCCUGCCACCGCACACCCGCCGCGCACCUCCGUACCGCCGCCGUACCCCACCUCCCGCAACAGCGCCAGCGCUGUUCGCCGCCACACGCGACUCCAACGCUGCCCCCGCUACCGCACCACCGCCAACCUCCGUCCCCGCUCUGCCGCCUUUGACGUCUUCAAGAACGUGUCUUUGUCGGAACCCCCAACGUUUUCCUCCGCUGCGUCGCGGCCAUUCUCGGCAUCGCAGAGAGUUCCGCUCCAACAGGCACGCUGUCUUGCUCACCUUCUGAUUCUCCGCCGUGACCUCCACAGGCACCGCCGCCUCCCAUCCUGUUCGCCGCUCCUCCAGACCAAACCCUAACUGUAUAGCCACGUCAGCAAUUAGGUAAAAAAUUAGGAUUUUUCCACCCAACUUUUUGUACCCAAUUGGGCCUGAACCGGCCCACUACUACACAUUAAGUCAUUUGCCCAUAUUUCAGCAGGAACCAUCCACGUUUUUCAAUUUAAUAUUUCUCUCUUUCCUUAGUUCCAAAGUUAGUUUUGAGUGCUUCCAGCAGAAUUAAUUCCUCCACUAAAGUAUGUGCCACCUUUUCAAAACUCUCCCCUCAUCGGAAACUGAAGAGGCUUCUCCUUUCAUCCAAUGGUUCUUUCAUUAACAAAAUUCAAACUCUGAAAUUUACUUAAUAAGUUGAGUUUAUUAUUACUCAAACCAACAACACUUAACUAUAAUGAGGGGUUGAAUUCAAAGAGGUGAAGUAACAAAAAUAUAAAUCCAAGCUAACGGAUUAAAUUGAAAAUUAAAUUACUUUAACAUAUAUAAAUUACAUUUUUAACUGUAGAUUGAAAUAUUUAUUAAUUUAAUGGAUGAUUUUAAUUUCAUUUGAAAAUUUUACUCACUUUCCAAAUCCAAAAUCAUGUACUUAAAAAGAAAUAUUUAUUAAUUUGACGGUUACUUUGAUUUGAAAACAUUACUUCUUGAAAAGAUAUCCUAAAUGAAAAGAAUGCAAUGCAAUCUAGGUUAGUUAUGUAUGGACCAAAGAAGAUAAGAAAAUCUCAUAAUUCUUUCUCAUCUUUUGCAAUGAAGAGAUAAGGAGAAGAUAGAAUCACCAUUUGGCAAAUGUAAUCUAGGUUAGUUAUGUAUGGACCAAAGAAGAUAAGAAAAUCUUAUAUUUCUUUCUCAUCUUUUGCAAUGAAGAGAUAAGAAGAAGAUAAAAUCACCAUUUGUCAAAAGGUAGGCAUGCAUGGCUACCGUGCUCACAUUUGCUUACAAAAAAACUAGGAAUUUGAGCUUGAAAUAACUGAGCCUAGAGAAGACUUAUAGGUCUUCACAAUUAAUAGAGUGGAUCCAAAAUGAGUUUCAGUCAUGUAACCAUCCAUCUAUUUAAUUCAAUCUUUGGAUUUUUGUGACCUUCUUAUAUGGUCCAACUUAUCCUGCCAUUGUUGGAUGGUUUCAUUUUAGCUCAAACUUCAAUUUACACACUGCUCUCAAUUAAGUGCAAGAAACAAGUUUCAUUUCUAUGCAUUUAUAACUAUUUGUUGUUCCUAUGCAAUUUCUAUCCUUCUAUUUCGUAAAGCUAACAUCAAGUUAAAACAAAAACAAAAAUAUGUGUGUGUUGACGUGCAGGUUGCAAUAAUGCUCAUAAAAAUGAAAAAGUAUUUUGAAAAUAGCAACAUAUAAAAUUUACAUUAUAGUGAACCAUGAAAUAUAAAAAAUGUAUUAAUUGCACACAUUUUCAAUUAUGUUGAAUUUAUUAUCAUAGGUUUAGGUUUAAAAUUAUUAGAACAGUGUAGUUAGGUAGGUGGUAAGAGUAGGUUUUAAACAAGUGAAAUUAGUAGUGAGAAUAUUAUUGGUUACAAAGCCUCCUCCUACUCCACCUCCAAACCCUCCUCCUCUACUUACACCUACUCCAAUUCCACCUCCAGUUUUGCAUGUAUGAAUUUGUUAGAGAAACAUUUUUACAAUGAUGACCACUAUCUUUUACUUGCCUCUACGAAAGGUAGCAAUUUUGAACAAAAUUGGGACCCUUUUGAGAUAAGAAAAGUUGGUAGUGAUAAUGACAAAUUAAAAUAAUUAAAUAAUAAUGGUCCCCUCAAAUUGGUCUUUAUAGGAGAAAGGGACCUCACAAAUUUAUUAGAGGUAAGAGGUGAGUGACAACAUUAUAGUUUUUUUAUAGUUUUUAAAUGACAAGUGUGUUAUCAAUUUUAUUAUUUGAUAGUAAAUGUGAAUUAAUUUCAUCUUGUGAAGAAAUCAAUUCAAACAUUAAGAAAUUUAUCGUCUAGUUUUUGAAACAAUGUUGAUUUUGUAUGAAGGUAACAUAAAGUCUCAUGCUCCUUCCGGUGUCUUAUCUAUACUCUUUUGAAAUCAUGAUGAAAUUUAAAGGAAAUAAAUUUUUAGUUUUUAUAGUGACUUUUUUUAGUUUUAAUUCUUCUGUUUUAUUUAUUAAUCCCUAUUAUUAUAAUUAUAAAAAAAUAAUCCUAGUAAAAUUUAUAUGUAGAUAAACUCUUUUUAGUUCUUAGAUUAUAUAAAUGAUUAUUAUUAAUAAUAAGUUGUUUCAAAAAUGUAAAUUAUUUUGCAGAUUUUAUAAAAUAAAGAAAGGAAAGAAAAUAAAUAUGAUUAUUUUUAAAUAAAGAAAGAGAAAAAAAUAAGUAUGGUUAAAUGUGGGUUAUUUUGUUCUAGGUUCUGAAUUGUUGGAGGAUUAGAAGAUUUAAAUCCUUUUAAUUAUAUUUUACAUUAUAUAUUUUUUAAAUGGGUUAAAAUACUCUUAAUAAUUCUAUUAAUUUUAUUUUUUGUUAUCUAUAAAUUUUUUUUUACAUAUAUUUAUAUAUGUCAAUUAAUGUUUUAAUAAUAAUAAUAUUAACUAUUUUUUAUUAUUAAGCUUUUAUUUGUUUUUAAUUUUAAAUAAUUUACAUAUAUAUUUCUUACGCAGGUGGAAAAUAAAGAAGUAAAAAAGAAAAUUAUAUAUAUUAUAAUAAAGUUUUUUAUUAUAUUUCUUUGUUACUGGCUAAACGAAAAAGAUAAUAAAAAACUGAGAGUACUUAUUGUGUUCUCUUAUCUCUAAGAUUAAUAAAUAGAAUUAAACUUAAUUAUAGUGAAUAUUAAUUAACAGUGUUUAAUUGAUGGGAAUCUUAAAGAAUCGAAAAUUGUAAUUUAUUGUGAGUAAGGUGCAUGAAACAGAAAGAAAAGAAGUCAACCAAUAUGACCAUAAAUACUGUGAUUCAACUAAUGCAGUGGUUUGUGGCAAUAAAAGAGAACUCUGCAAGGUCUCUGAAGAUGGACAGGAAUAUGCAGUCUAAAUAACAAUAGGUGUUUUAUGAGUAACAAUAGAUGUUUUUACUCUAAAAAUAUGACUAUCGUUAAAUAAUUAGUUGUUAUAGUGACUAAAUUUGAGACCAUUUUCAGACUAUAUAAAUUUUUUAUUUCUAAAUUAGUUUCUAUUACUGUGAAAUAGUUUCUUAAUUGGUAUUUAAUUAGCUACCAAUGUUUUAAUUACCAAUUAUUUAGAUUCUAAAUUUAGUAGCAAAAACCUUAGUUGAUAAUUAGAUACCAAUUUAGAAACCAUUUAACAAUAAUAGAAACUAAUUUAGAAACUAAAAAUUUAUUUAGUCCCUAAAAUGGUCUCUAAUUUAGUCACUAUAGCAACUAAUUAAUUUUUUUUCUCUAAAAUUGGUUUCUAUUUCAUGAUUUUCUUGUAGUGUAAAAUACACAAACUUCAUUUGUCACAUCAUAAACUUGUUAAUAUUGUUCUGAGGAUGUUUUACAUUAUAUCAAAAUUAUAAUGAUGCAAUAUAACUAUACAUUCAAUGAGGGACGAAAUACAGUUCUUCAUUACGUGAAACAAAAAUUAUAUUUAACUUUUAUAUUUAUGAGAUUUUUUUAAUAAACUCAUAAGAAAAAAAAUCUAUAAAAUAUUAAUAAAUUUUAUUUUUAAAAUCAAUCUUUAAUUUUAUAGUUGGGUAAACAAACUUUAAUUAAGAGUCUAACUUAUUAUGCAUAAGAGCUUUAGGAGUUGACUAUUAAAAAUUAUUCAUUCACUCCAUCAAGAAAAGAAAACGUUAUUUUAUUAAUGGUUUGGAAUUAAUACAUGUAUUAAUGUCACAUUUAAGGCAUGUACUUACAACUAUAUUUGAAAUAAUUAUGCUAUAGCAAAAAGGUACCAGCAAUAAUAUAAUAUAUUGUAGUUAAAAAAAAUAAGUUACUAAAUUAGAAACUUCAAAGUUAUAACCCGUUAUAACCAAACAAAUAUUAUAUUACAAUCAAUACAAUAUAUUUCAAUAAUGUAAUUAUUGAAAUUUUGGAAAGUUAUAUGUAUAAACAUUUGUUUUUUUAAAGUAACGCAGUGAUUGGGUUGAAAAAUUAGCUUUUAAGAGUAUUCAGAACUCUAAAGUUAUAGUAGUAGACUUGUUGCAAUUGAAUUUUAAACUAUUAAAAGAUAUUGUAUUGAAAAUUAAAUAAAACUAAAGGUUUGAUUAUUGUUUGUUGUUGGUAAAGUGUUUCUGGAAAGGAUGAAGUUAUUUUUCGAUUUGUAUAAUGGUUGAGAAAUUAAACUAAACCAAAUUUAAUUAGUUGUGUCUAUAUCAAUAAUGUUCAAUUAAGAUAUAUAGGCAAUUUUGUUUUGUAAAUUGUAAUAUGUAACAAAAGAAUAUAAACAAAGUAAUUUUUUUAAAAAACUAAUUAAAUCAAUUUAAUGAAAUAUAUAAAAAUUAAUUUUCUUCUAAAUUUAUUAUCUUUUUAACUAAUCAUAUUAUUGAUAUAAAGUAUUAUUAACUUUUUAUCAAUGACUUUUUCGUUAUAAUUUUUCAUCCAACGCUUCUUUCUUUCAUUAACAAAAUUCAAACUCAGAAAUUUACUUAAUAAGUUGAGUUUAGUAUUACUCAAACCAACAACACAAUUAUAAUGAGGGGUUGAAUUGAAAGCGGUUAAGUAACAGAAAUCCAAAAGCGAACCUAAUUAGUUUAUCUUAUAUAAAUUACAUUUUUAAAUGUAGAUUAAAAAUGUAUUAAUUUAAUGGAUGAUUUAAUUUCAUUUGUAAACUUUACUGACUUUUCAAAUCCAAAAUCUUAUUGAAAUAUAUAUUGAUUGUUUAUGGAUUAAAGAAGAUAAAAAGAGAGACUUCCACUUCUACCUUCCACCCUUCAAAAUAGGAACUUCCAAGAUAUUCCAAGAUACUCUCGUGUCCUUCCUUUUUAACAAUAACUUUUAAGACAAUGGUGAGGAUACAAAUGCCAAUACAAAAAAUAAUAAUUGAAGGAACGAACCCUAUGUUUCAUCCAUAACCAUGAUCUAAGUUAUGUCUGAUGGAGAAUUUCUUCAGCAUCUGGUAUUCCUUGUUUAAAGAUAACCAAGUUUCGUUGCUCCCAAAUUCCUCUUACUACAGCCACCCAUAUGCCUUUCCAUACAGAUUCUGCUUAAUACUCAAAUAUGCUAAGUGGAAAUUCUCAAAGUGACACUUCAAAUCCUUAUGUUGGACAAAAAUGAUACCUAUCCACCUAAAGCAUAGAACCCACACUCGUUGCGCAAUGGCACAUUCUAGGAAGAAGUGUUGAGAGGUCUCUUCCAAAGUUUGUCAAAGCGCACAAAUAGAUUAACUAACUACCACUCAUCUUCUGAUAAGGUUGGUUCUUGUUGGCAUUCUAUCCAACAGUAUUCUCCAAGCAGUAGUUAAAACAUUAGGCAAUGCUUUACUCUGCCAUAACUGUUUAAAGAGUCCAUCAGUCGGGCCAUUGACUUGAUUAGUGAGACACACACGUAAGCUGACUUAACUGAGAAUUCCCUAUAGUAUUCCCUCCCCAAAGUUGGAGGUAUGAUUCCUCCCUAUUCAAAACUUCCUCAGAGAUGAACCUUGACAUUUAUUCUUCUUGUACAAAUUCCCAAUCAAACCUGACCCUCAUCCACCUCAACCUCUAAUACCAAACUACGUCUUCCCACACACCUACCUCGCCCAUCAUCAUUCCCUAGUCCAAUGAUAUGGGAUACAACCUAAGGUACAAAUUAUCAAGUUUAUUAUCCAACAGUAUUCUCCAAGCAGUAGUUAAAACAAUAGACAAUGUUUUACUCUACCAUAACUGUUUUAAAGAGUCCAUCAGUCGGGCCAUUGACUUGAUUAGCGAGACACACACGUAGGCUGACUUAACUGAGAAUUCCCUAUCCCCUUCCCAAAGUUGGAGGUAUGAUUCCUCCCUAUUCAAAACUUCUUCAGAGAUGAACCUUGACAUUUAUUCUUCUUGUACAGAUUCCCAGUCAAACCUGACCCUCAUCCACCUCAACCUCCAAUACCAAACUACUUCUUCCCACACACCUACGUCGCCCAUCAUCAUUCCCUAGUCCAAUGAUAUGGGGUACAACCUAAGGUACAAAUUAGCAAGUUUAUUAUCACCAACCAAAACAUCUUCCCAGAAUGUUGCUCUGUUCUCAGAUCCAACUUUCCAAACUAAUGUUUUUUGGAACCAUCCUUGGUCUUCUCCGUCGCCACAUACUUUACUUAAGUAUCUCUACCACCAAGAUUGAAAUUUCACAUUGGUCUGGCUUCGCCUUGAUUCCAAGCUGUAUUUUGAUGCAAAAAUAUCUUCUCACUUUCCUUGUUCUUUUCUCACCAGCCGCCAUUUCCAUUUUGCAAACAAAACACUGUUAAACAUUCUGGUAUCUCUAAUCCCCAACCCUCCUUCCUCUAAGGUUUACAUACAUUCUCCCAACUGACCCAGACUAUUGAUGUAUGAUAUCUUUCCCAUGCCCAAAGAAACCUCCUAUAGAUACUGAUUAUUCUAUUACACACUGAUGCCGAAGCUUUAUAAAAGGAUAAAUCAAGUAGGGGUAAGACACAAAAUACCAACUUAAUAAAGCAAAUUCUUCUCGCCAAAGAUAAGAAUCUCCCCUUCCAAGUACUCAACCUAACACUUAUCUCAUUCAAAAUUAGCUCCCAGAACUGCUUUUUCCAUGGUUUACCUCCUACUUCUAACCCCAAGUAAAUGAAAGGUAUCCUUAUGAGAGUACAAUUUAAAGAUUUUGCAUUUCAUUUAAGGGAAUUCCUCUCAACAUUUGAUUUGUGGAAGUUAAUUUUCAAACCAGCGACCAACUCAAAACACCUUAAUAUAGCUUUAAUUGCAAUGAUAUUGGAGAAGGAGUCUUCACACAUGACUAGAAUAUCAUCCGCAAAUUGUAACAUGCAAGAUUCAAUCUCACUCCUUCCCACCUUCACACCUUUAAGUAGAUUCUCCUUAAAGCGCUUGUCUAACUAGCCCGCCAAAGCCUCUAGCUACAACAAGAAAGAGGAAUGAAGCUGAUGGAUCUCUCUGCCUCAACCCUCUAGAUGGAUAAAAUUCUGUCGUGGGGCUUCCAUUCACCAGAACUGAUACCGUUGCAGACUCCAAGCAGUCUCUGACCCAUUUGAUCCAUUUAUAGUGAAAGCCCAGCCUGUGUAGCAUAUCAUAUAAGAAAUUCCACCUUAUCGAAUCAUACGCCUUUUCAUAGUCCACCUUCAGACACAAUCCUUCCUUCGGAACCUCCUUAUCUCCUCAACCACCUCAUUGGCCACUAAGACGCUAUCUAACGUUCCUUUGUCCUUCAACUGGAUGUCAUCAAUAACCAUAGGUAGUACAUUCUUAAUCCGACAGUAUAACACCUUGGUAACAAUUUUAUAUAAAGCGCCCACUAGAGAUAUAGGUCUAUACUGAUCGAGAUUUAUGGGAUCUCUUACUUUAGGUACUAAGGUUAUAAAAGAGGCAUUACAACCCUCCGAAAAGCAACCUGUUUCCUGAAAACAAAGCACAACUUCCAUGAUGUUGUGCUUAAGAGUAUCCCAGUUAUACUUGAUGAAGUUAAAACUAAACCCAUUUUUGAACCUUCACACCGCCAAACCGCUUCCUUUACUUCUUUCCUUGUGACAUCAUAGAUCAUACUUAAGCUAAACUAACCUACAAAGGUAGAGUUAGUGAAUUGUUUUUCAAUCAAACUCAAAAGUGCGAUUAAACAUAUAAAAAUGCACUAACAUGUUGUUUUGGUUGAAACUUUGCUCAUUAAAUAAUUUAUAUAUAUAUAUAAACUAAACAGUUUCAUUUUUUUUAAUAAAUUGUUCAAACUUUAUUGUAAAAAUUGAGGUUAGAUUUCACAAGUGUUCACACCAACCUAAAGUAUUAUUAGAAAUUAAAAUUCAACAAAAAUGCUUGUAUUUGAUUCUCUUUUAUUCAUUAGAUCAAACUUGAUUGGUUUAAUUAAAAAAAUCAAACACACUAAACUAAUCCAAAUUUAUAUAAUUAUGACUUUACUUAAUUUAUUUUACAAGCUUGUAAACAUUCCUUUCUACUAAACAUUAUAGGUUAAUAUAUUAUUUAGUUGUUUCUAUAUUAACAAUGUUCGAGUAAGAUAUAUAGGCAAUUCUGUAUUCUAAAUUGUAACGUAAUAAAAUAAUAAAAACAGUUAAAGUUAAAAAAAUAAAAAAAACUAAUUAAAUCAAUUUAAUUAUAUAAAAAUUAUUUUUCUUCUAAAUUUAUUAUUUUUUUAUUUAAACAUAUUAUUGAUAUAAAGUAUUAAAAUUUAUCAAUGACUAAUUUUUGUUAUCAAAUUUUACUGACUAUCUUUCGUAUGGUCUUUCAUCCCAAUGAUUCUUUGUUUCAUUAAUAAAAUUCAAACUCGAAAUUUACUUUGAGUAUAGUAUUACUCAAACCAACAACACUUAACUAUAAUUAACUUAACUAUAAUUAGGGGUUGGAUUGAAAACGGUGAAGUAACAAGAAGAUAAAUCCAAGCUAACCUAAUGGAUUAAAUUGAAAAUUAAAUUAAAUUUAUUUAAACUUAAACAAUUACAUUUUUAACUGUAAAUUUAUUAAUUUAAUGGAUGAUUAAUUUGAUUUGAAAACUUUACUUAGACUUUCCAAGUCAAAAAUCUUAUACUUAAAAAGAAUAUUUAUUAAUUUAAUUGAUGGUUAAUUUGAUUUGAAAACUUUACUUCUAUAAAAGAAAUCCUAAAUUAAAAGAAUGCAAUGCAAUCUAGAUCGGUUGUAUAUGGAUCAAAGAAGAUAAAAAUUUCAUAUUUCUUUCUAACCUUUUGUAAUGAAGACAAAAGAAAAAAAUAGAGUCACCAUUUGUCAAAAGAUAGAAAUGCAUGGUUGUCGUGCUCGCAUUUGCUUACAAAAAUACUAGACAUUUGAGCUUGAAAUAACUGAGUCUAGAGAAGACUCAUAAGUCUUCAAAAUUAAUAGAAUGGAACCAAAAUGAGUCUGAGUCAUGUAAGCAUUGAGUAUUUAAUUCAAUCUUUGGAUUUUUGCGAUCUUCUUAUAUGGUCCAGCUUAUUCUGCCAUUGUUGGAUGGUUACAAAGCUUUGCUUCUCAUGCACAACAUCUGGUAUAGAAGAGUAGAAACCACUACAUGCAAUAUAACUUAAUUCAAAUGUUAUAAGCAUAAAUUAUUUUCUUUAAAACAAGACAUGGAAUGUGUAAAACAAUUUCAGUCACUCUUGCAUGCCAAACUUUUAUCAACACUCUUACUUACAUUAUACUUAGUGUCCAUGGCCAAAUCCAACUCCACCGCCACAACCACCACCACUAACUCCAAAGUUAUCACCACUAACUCCAAAGCCAUCACCACAACCAAAUGCGCCACCUCCACCUCCGAAUUCCUCCUCCUCCACCUACACCUCCUCUAAUUCCACCUCCAAUUUUGCAUGUAUGAAUUUGUUGAGAAACAUUUUUGGAGUGAUGACCACUAUGUUUUACUUGCCUCUAUCAAAGGUAGCAAUUCUGAACAAAAUUGGGACCCUUUGAAAUAAGAAAAGUUGGUAGUGAUUGAUGAGCAUAUGUUUAUUCACACUCACUAGCCUUAUUCAUAGAUUAUUGGACUAUAAUAAUAAAUAAAUCCAUUGUUUUAAUUAAUAUUCAUAUAAUUGGGUUUAUUUUGGCCUUAACUAUUAUCUUUGGUAAUUUUGUGUUUUUAGGGUAAAUUAUCUGAAGCAUCUACCUUUGUGAAUGAGCCAAAUAUGCAAAAGUCCAAGUUGCUUCUUUGAAUCAAAACAGAAAACAAAUUUUGAGGAGAAGAAAGAGAAAAUAAAAGCUACAAGAUUCCAGAAACAGAAUUGGAAGCAAAUCUUCUGCAAAAUAAAAAGAAUUAUGGAAAGUGGAAAUUGUUUACAAAAUCUAAACUGCAAUAUUUUCCCAAGAUCCUUGGAGCAGAAAAGCCCUAUAAAAGGACACAAGCAUCAAGGAGAAGAGGGAGAGCUUCAUAGGGUUUUCUUAGUUUCUUUUCUUCUUUAUAAUUCUUUUGUUUUGCCUCCGCAUGGAAGGCUAAACCUUUUUGGUUGAUUCCUUUGUAAUUUCUCAUUGAGUUCUGAGGUUUUGUUCUAUAAAAGUUUCGAUUUUUAAUUCUCUAUAGCAGUUGUUUUUAUUGUCUAAUCUCCUGGAAAACUGGAUUUUGUGAGAGGUUGUACUUGAACGCAUGAUUGAGAGUCUUCCUUAUCUUAAACUUUGGUUUCUUAGUUAGUUCGCAUUGUUCUAAUUAAUUUCUUGGGCACAUGAUUCAAGAGAGAGGAGGUAAGCAUUCCCAUGGAGUAUACGCAUGGAACAAAGUGGGUAUUGAUUAAACCAGUAGACGCAUGUUUUACUGGUGAGUUUCAGUUGAAUUAGAUUGGCGCAUGUUCAAUCUGGUUUAACUCUGUUGAAGGAUUGAGAAAAGAUUAAUCUUUAGAGAACCUGUGAAGAAUUCAAUGGUGGAAGAACUUGGGAUCAACCGCUUUUUAUUUGCUAUUUUAAUCUCUUUUAUAUAUUUUGCACAACUAUCUCAAACCCCUUUUUCAUCUUUAUUGUUAUUGCUAACUUUUAUUGCUUGCAGGUAGAUUUUAAACCCUGAUCAACUGAUUUUACUAUUGGAUUCGUUGGGAGACGACUUGGGGACAUCUGUCCACAAUUAUACUAUCAUCUCUCUAGUGUUAGACAAGUCUACGCUAGAAUCAUAUUAAUUUGACAGCAAAACGACAGCUAUCAGUGAUAAUGACAGAUUUUUUUUUUGGAAAAAUAAAAUAAUGGUCCCCUCAAAUUCGCCUUUUGUAGGAGAAAGAGACCUUAUAAGUAACAACAUUGUAGUUCUUAAAUGACAAGUGUGUUAUGAAUGUUAUUAUUUCAUAGUAAAUGUGAAGAAUUUUAAACACUCAUCCAUCACAAUUUAUGUGUUUUUAAUCUUUAAAUAAUUUACAUACUUAUUAUGUAGGUGGAAAAUAAAGAAGUAAAAAAGAAAAUUCUAUAUUUAUUUUUAUUAUAAUAAAGUUUUUUAUUAUAUUUCUUUGUUACUGGCUAAAUGAAAAAGAUAAUAAAACCUGAUGGAGUAACUUAUUAAGUUCUUUUAUCUCUAAGAUACGACUUUAGGAAUUAUAAAUUGAAUUAAACUUAAUUAUAGUGAAUAUUAAUUAACAGUGUUUAAAUGAUGGGAAUCUUAAAGAAUCGAAAAUUGUAAUUUAACAGUGUUUAAUUGAUGUGUGCAUGCAUCUAUAUAAAAUUAUUUCUCUAUUAUUUCUCUAUUUUCUGUGUAAAAGGAAAUUGGUGUCUUUCUGUUAGAAUUUCUUUUUUAAAUUAUUCUUCGAUUUUCAUUUUUUUCGAUCUUAUCUCAGUGUUGAUGGGUGAAAUUAUUCAGUUUAGUUAAUUGGCUUGAUUAUACAAGGAGAACAAAAUAAUAUAAAAAACAAAGAAAACACAGAGUAAUGUGCAUUCAACUAAAAAUUUGCAUGAUCCAAUAUUAAUUUACAGAAAUACAGUUAAUAUACAUUUCUUUCUUUAUUUCUUUUUCUCUCUAUAUAUAUACAUGACAUGCUAAUUAAAACUUAAAUGAUAAAUAUUUUUUACAAAAUUGUUAAAGAUGGAACUAUUUCAAAAAUAGAAGCAAAUGCUUGAAAUAAUAUAAUUUGAACUUAUUUCAAAUUUAAAAAAUUUAUAUAUUUUUAUUUUAAAAUACUCAUAUCUUAAUCAACAGAAAGAGGCAAAGUAUGUAUUGUAGCAUUGAAGACAUGGCUUGGUGUGUGACUAAUUGAGACCAUUAAACAUAAAGAAUCCAUUUAAAGUGGGUGGUAAUAAAAGGGUAGCAAGCGUAGUUUGCCAAAACAGGAAAAAGUUCAAAACAACAUAAAAGCUCUAUGUUUUCCCCAACUCUUUAUAAUAAUACACGAGGCCUUGAAGGAGAUUCAUGACUUUUUUGUUUCACUGUCUUCCUAUAUAUUAUGUACUUGGUAUCUAUUAUAGGAGAAAAAACACGAUUCCACCAACCUUUCCUCUCCCUUCUUCCUUCUAUUCACAUCCAAGUUCAUACAAAACCCCAUAGAAAUGAGAGGUAGAGAUAUUCUCUAAAGCAACAAAACAAAAAAAGUUACUAGAAAUUCAACAAGACCCUCCUCCUCCGUCUCCUCCUUCUCAACUCUCUUUUGCUUACAAUCAUAAGAAAAAACUGGACACCUCAAAACCAAUACACUCCACCAUGAACAACAAAGCCCCAAGUUUUGAUGAUUCUAAUGUUGAUUGCAAUGUUUCCCCAAAUCAAAAUCUAAGACAACAACAUGGCCAACAACAGCUCAGAAGACAAGCUAGAAGAAGGCUUACUAAUAGGCCUUAUCAAGAAAAUCUAAUGAAUAUGACAGAGGCAAGGAAAGAGAUUGUCACUGCCCUGAAAUACCACAGGGCAACCAUGAAACAGGCCAAUGAGCAUCAACAACUCCAACAACAUCAUCCAGUGCCUUUCCAACCUCCAUUUUAUUCAAGGUUUAGCCCGGAUGGAAGAUUCAAGGCUAGGAGAAGGCCUAAGAUGUUUCUACCACCAUCAAACAAAAUUUCACAUUACUUAAAUGAUCUUUCCUUCUCCUCACCUUUCCCACCCCUUCCUUCUCUUCAUUUUCCUCCACCUCCUCUUCCUCUUCCUCCUCCUCCACUUUCAAAUUUAUACUCCAACACCAUUCCUUCCCCAUUUUCUCAUCCACACCCUCAUCCAGAAACUCCCAAUUUCAUACUUCCAAGUCAGGCAUUGGGAUUCAAUCUUAAUCUACACAAAUUCAACAGUUUAAAACCGCCCCUUUGCUUAAUAAGAACACUUUAGACCCUACCAUUUUGCUUAAUAACAACACUUUGAAUCCUACCCUUUUGCUGGAUAACAACAUGUUAGAUCCUACCCUUGUGUUGGAUAACAACAUGUUGGAUCCUAUCCCUGUGCUUAACAACAUUUCAGAUCCUACCCGUGUGCUGAAUAACAACAACAAUUUAGAACCUGCCAUUUUUCCUUACAACAAUAAAUCAUCACUGUGCUCUUACUCAUCUCCAACAUUAACUUUCCCUCCAUUUGUGACUGGUCAAGACGUUCCUUCGAUUGAAAUAUCACAACCACAUGGAUAAGGAGUUUCCACAGUGAUUAAUACCGUUGAAUCCAGUACUACAACCCAAGCUAGUGGAAGCAUGCAUGUGGACAUGGAUGAAGAGGGCAUGGAAGAGAUCAGAGCAUUGGGCGAGCAACAUCAAAUGGAAUGGGAUGACAAUAUGAGUCUGGUCACUUCAGUUUGGAGGUUCAAUUGCUUACACCAAAUGGAACAUAAUGCACUUGAAUUCAACAAUGAAGUUGAGAAAUGUCAUGGGACCUUUGAUGAUGAACUUGAAUUUUCUCUAUGGGAAAAUUAAUGAUCUGUAAGACAAGCUUACAAUAGUGUGCUCCCUGGAUUUAGUACACUGGAUUUUGUCGGGUAGCUCUGUUAGGGUUUUGUUUUAGUGGGAAAAUUACCCAUUUUUCCCAACACUAGGGGAUAUCCUGGUUUUGCUACUUGUGGAGGUAUUUUCUGUGGGAGUAUGAGGGAAUUUAUUGGAGCUUUCUCUGCGUUUCUUGAAGUUCAGAUUGCUCUAAUUGCUGAGUUUUAUGAGGUUAUACAUGCUAUGGAGGGAACUCAAAAGAUGGGGCUUACUAGUGUCUGGUUGGAAUGUGAUUCUGCUUUGGUUUGUGAUGCGUUUACUGCUAGGACAAAUGUUCCUAGGAUGCUUCGGAAUUGAUGAAACACUUUUCUUAAUUACUGUGGGAAAAUCAGGUUUAUGAUUACUCAUCAUAUUUUUCGUGAAGUGAAUGUGCAUGCUGAUAAGUUGACUAAUUUAGGAUUUAUUCAUAGAAAAUAAUUUCAUUGUUUUUUUUUUCAUAAGCAACAUUGAUAUAAUAAGUUUUCAUCUAAUCUAUAAGAAAAUGAUAAAAAAAUGGUAUGAAUAAGAGAUGUUUCUUAUUCUCUUAUGUGUAUAUUACAUCACUCAUGUAUAGGAAAUAUAUAGGGAGUUUCUAUCUCUCAAAUUACAAUCUAAUUAGGUAAGAUACUAAUCAUGAGAUUCUAUAAUUAUUAAAUUAAUUGCAUAUAAUUGGGUACAAUAUCGUCAAAUAUUGCCUACAAUAAUUGCAUAUAAUUUGAUAAUUAUUAUUUCCUUAAUAUAAUCUAUUAUUAGAAUUCUUUAUGAAUAGGUAUAGUCUACCUAUGUAUCGUUUUUGUUAACAUAUGAGUUUUGGCCUAAUCCCCUCAUAUUUUUGUAUUUUUUUAAUAAUACUUUUUUCACGGGAUGAUAGAUGAUUGUUGUUACUUGAGAUGUCAGUCUAGCUGAGAUGUCAAGUUGCAUAAUGAUGUUUAACAUGAAAGCAUUUUUAUAAAACUAAACAUUUUCAUAUUCUCCUUUUUAAUAAAAUUUUCAAACCUGUAUACUAAAAACUGAGGUUAGAUUUCAUAAUUCUUCGUAGUUGAAUCACACCAACCUAAAAUAUUAUUAGAAGUUAAAAUUCAAAAAAAAAUGCUUGUGAAUAAUUAUCUUUCAUUCUUUAGAUCAAAAUUGAUUGGUUUAAUUUUUUAUUUAAAAAAUCAAACACAGUAAACUAAACCAAAUGUAUAUAAUUAUGACUUUACUUCAUUAUUUUACAAGCUUGUAAAUGUUUCCACUCUUUUCUACUAAACAUUCUAAGUUAAUAUAUUAGUUGUGUCUAUAUUAAUGAUGUUCCAUUAAGAUAUAUAGGCAAUUCUGUUUUGUAAAUUGUAACAUGUAGUAAAGGAAGGCUGAUAAGAAAAUGUAAUAAUAAACAAUGUUAAAGUUAAAAAAAAUAAAAAAACUAAUUAAAUCAAUUUAAUGAAAUAUAUAAAAAUUAGUUUUUUUUAAUUUAUUAUCUUUUAACUAACCAUAUUAUUGAUAUAAAGUAUUAUUAACUUUUAUAAAUGACUAAUUUUUAUUAUAAAUUUUCACUAAUUACUAUAUUUGAUAUUUUUUUUAUUAACAAGAAAUAAUUAAAAUAAAUUGACUCACUUAAGGAUGGUCAAACCAUCAUACGGAGUAAGAAAGGACAAAUAUUUUCACAUACACAUAAAAAAAUCAUAAAGAAAUCUUCAACCGCCUUUCUCAACUCUACCUAUUACAAAAGAAACAAAAAAAAAUCCAGAAACAACUCUUAUAAUGACAUUAAAUAGAAUAUAUACCUACCAAGAGUAUCUUUGAAGCAUCAAAAACCAAACCUUAAUUUGUAUUAGAAAAAAAACUUAUGAUUGAUCACUCCACCUUUACAUAAACAAUUAUUUAUGUGUCUUCAAAUCUCACUAACCUAUAAUACGAUUAAUUGAGUGAAAACAUCCAGAAUUUUGGAACGUUCAAAAUGUGACCCAUCGGCCAGUGAGACAAUGGGGGAUAAGCUUCUUCGUCGAGAGGGAAACAGUCCGGAUCACCAGCUAAGGUCCCUAAAUGACCACUAAGUGAUAAAGGAGGAACGGUGCAGAGACAACUAAGAGGUUUGUCUAGGGUAGCCACCCUUGAAAGAGUGCGUAAUAGCUCACUGAUUGAGGACUCUUGUCAAGGGACGAUAAGAUCAACCGAACUCACUCUUAAGCAAUAGUAACAAAGAUUUCAAAUUAACCAAACAACUUUACAUCCGAAGAAUAAAUGAUUUGUUGACUCUCUAAUAUCCGCAUAAACAACAAAUAUUGCUCUCGGUCGUUAUCUCUCGUCUCUUCAAAUUUAUCUUAUCCGCAUAAGCAACAAAUAUUGCUCUCGGUCGUUAUCUCUCGUCUCUUCAAAUUUAUCUUAGAAACUAUCUUAUUUUUAAUAACCCUCCAAGAUGUACCUUUGCUUUCGUCUUUAAUCAACCGCACCUCACCCCUCACCUUCUUCCUCAUCAACCUGCACUGUCCCUGCCACCGCACACCCGCCGCGCACCUCCGUACCGCCGCCGCACCCCGAUCCCGCGCCUGCGCCGUCCGCCGCGACGCGCAGCCCCAUCUCCCGCAACAGCGCCAGCGCUGUUCGCCGCCACACGCGACUCCAACGCUACCCCCGCUACAGCACCACCGCCAACCUCCGUCCCCGCGCUGCCGCCUUUGACGUCUUCAAGAACCCCCAACGUUUUCCUCCGCUGCGUCGCGAGCCAUUCUCGGCAUCGCAGAGAGUUCCGCUCCAACAGGCACGCUGUCUUGCUCUCCUUCUGAUUCUCCGCCGUGACCUCCACUGGCACCGCCGCCUCCCAUCCUGUUCGCCGCUCCUCCAGACCAAACCCUAACUGUAUAGCCACGUCAGCAAUUAGGUAAAAAGUUAGGAUUUUCCCAUCCAACUUUUUGUACCCAAUUGGGCCUGAACCGGCCCACUACUACACAUUAAGUGAUUUGCCCAUAUUUCAGCAGGAACCAUCCACGUUUUUCAAUUUAAUAUUCCUCUCUUUCCUUAAUUCCAAAGUUAGUUUUGAGUCUUUCCAGCAGAAUUAAUUCCUCCACUAAAGUAUAUGCCACCUUUUCAAUACUCUCCCUUCAUCGGAAACUGAAGAGGCUUCUCCUUUCAUCCAAUGCUUCUUUCAUUAACAAAAUUCAAACUCGAAAUUUACUUAAUAAGUUGAGUUUAUUAUUACUCAAACCAACAACACUUAACUAUAAUGAGCGGUUGAAUUCAAAGAGGUGAACUAACAAAAAUAUAAAUCCAAGCUAACGGAUUAAAUUGAAAAUUAAAUUACUUUAACAUAUAUAAAUUACAUUUUUAACUGUAGAUUGAAAUAUUUAUUAAUUUAAUGGAUGAUUUUAAUUUCAUUUGAAAAUUUUACUCACUUUCCAAAUCCAAAAUCAUGUACAUAAAAAGAAAUAUUUUUUAAUUUGACGGUUACUUUGAUUUGAAACAUUACUUCUUGAAAAGAUAUCCUAAAUGAAAAGAAUGCAAUGCAAUCUAGGUUAGUUAUGUAUGGACCAAAGAAGAUAAGAAAAUCUCAGAUUUCUUUCUCAUCUUUUGCAAUAAAGAGAUAAGAAGAAGAUAGAAUCACCAUUUGGCAAAUAGUUAUGAUUGGAUCAAAGAAGAUAAGAAAAUCUUAGAUUUCUUUCUCAUCUUUUGCAAUGAAGAGAUAGGAAGAAGAUAGAAUCACCAUUUGUCAAAAGGUAGGCAUGCAUGGUUACUCUGCUCACAUUUGCUUAAAAAAAACUAGGAAUUUGAGCUUGAAAUAACUGAGCCUAGAGAAGACUUAUAGGUCUUCACAAUUAAUAGCGUGGAUCCAAAAUGAGUUUCAGUCAUGUAAGCAUUGUCUAUUUAAUUCAAUCUUUGGAUUUUUGUGACCUUCUUAUGUGGUCCGCUUAUUCUGCCAUUGUUGGAUGGUUUCAUUUUAGCUCAAACUUCAAUUUACACACGGCUCUCAAUUAAGUGCAAGAAACAAGUUUCAUUUCCAUGCAUGUAUAACUAUUUGUUGUUCGUAUGCAAUUUCUAUCCUUCUAUUUGGUAAAGCUAACAUCAAGUUAAAACAAAAACAACAAAAACAAAAAUAUGUAUGUGUUGACGUGCAGGUUGCAAUAAUGCUCAUAAAAAUGAAAAAGUAUUUUGAAAAUAGCAACAUAUAAAAUUUACAUUAUAGUGAACCAUGAAAUAUAAAAAAUGUAUUAAUUGCACACAUUUUCAAUUAUGUUGAAUUUAUUAUCAUAGGUUUAGGUUUAAAAUUAUUAGAACAGUGUAGUUAGGUAGGUGGUAAGAGUAGGUUUUAAACAAGUGAAAUUAGUAGUGAGAAUAUUAUUGGUUACAAAGCCUCCUCCAACUCCACCUCCAAACCCUCCUCCUCUACUUACACCUACUCCAAUUCCACCUCUUUUACUUGCCUCUACGAAAGGUAGCAAUUUUCAACAAAAUUGGGACCCUUUUGAGAUAAGAAAAGUUGGUAGUGAUAAUGACAAAUUAAAAUAAUUAAAUAAUAAUGGUCCCCUCAAAUUGGUCUUUAUAGGAGAAAGGGACCUCACAAAUUUAUUAGAGGUAAGAGGUGAGUGACAACAUUAUAGUUUUUUAUAGUUUUUAAAUGACAAGUGUGUUAUCAAUUUUAUUAUUUGAUAGCAAAUGUGAUUUAAUUUCAUCUUGUGAAGAAAUCAAUUCAAACUUUAAGAAAUUUAUCGUCUAACUUUUGAAACAAUGUUGAUCUUGUAUGAAGGUAACAUAAAGUCUCAUGCUCCUUCCGGUGUCUUAUCUAUACUCUUUUCAAAUCAUGAUGAAAUUUAAAGGAAAUAAAUUUUUAAUUUUUAUAAUGACUUUUUUUAGUUUUAAUUCUUCUGUUUUAUUUAUUAAUCCCUAUUAUUAUAAUUAUAACAAUAAUAAUCCUAGUAAAAUUUAUAAGUAGAUAAACUCUUUUUAGUUCUUGGAUUAUAUAAAUGAUUAUUAUUAAUAAUAAGUUGUUUAAAAAAUGUAAAUUAUUUUGCAGAUUUUAUAAAAUAAAGAAAGAAAAGAAAAUAAGUAUGAUUAUUUUUAAAUAAAGAAAGAGAAAAAAAUAAGUAUGGUUAAAUGUGGGUUAUUUUGUUCUAGGUUCUGAAUUGUUGGAGGAUUAGAAGAUUUAAAUCCUUUUAAUUAUAUUUUACACUAUAUAUUUUUUAAAUGGGUUAAAAUACUCUUAAUAAUUCUAUUAAUUUUAUUUUUUGUUAUCUAUAAAAAAAAUGUACAUAUAUUUAUAUAUGUAAAUUAAUGUUUUAAUAAUAAUAAUAUUAACUAUUUUUUAUUAUUAAACUUUUAUUUGUUUUUAAUUUUAAUAUAUAUUUCUUAUGCAGGUGGAAAAUAAAGAAGUAAAAAAAAAAUUCUAUAUAUUAUAAUAAAUUUUUUUAUUAUAUUUCUUUGUUAUUGGCUAAACGAAAAAGAUAAUAAAAUAAAAAACUGAGGGAGUAACUUAUUGUGUUCUUUUAUCUCUAAGAUAGGACCCUAGGAAUUACAAAUUGAAUUAAACUUAAUUAUAGUGAAUAUUAAUUAACAGUGUUUAAUUGAUGGAAAUCUUAAAGAAUCAAAAAUUGUAAUUUAUUGUGGGUAGGGUGCAUAAAGGAGAAAGAAAAGAACUCAAACUAUAUGACCAUAAAUACUAGGAUUCAACUAAUGCAGUUGUUUAUGGCAAUCAAAAAGAACUCUGCAAGGUCUCUGAAGAUGGGCAUAAAGAUGCAAUCUAAAUAACAUUUAUGAGUAACAAUAGGUGUUUUAUGAGUAACAAUAGGUGUUUUUACUCUUAAAAAAUCACUAUUGUUAAAUAAUUAGUUGUUAUAGUGACUAGAUUAGAGAUCAUUUUAGAGACUAAAUAAAUUUUUUAUUUUUAAAUUAGUUUAUAUUAUUGUGAAAUAGUUUCUAAAUUAGUAUUUAAUUAGCUACCAAGGUUUUAAAUACCAAUUAUUUAGAUUCUAAAUUUAGUAGCAAAAACCUUAGUUGCUAAUUAGAUACUAAUUUAGAAACCAUUUAACAAUAAUAAAAACUAAUUUAGAAAUAAAAAUUUAUUUAGUCCCUAAAAUAAUCUCUAAUUUAGUUACUAUAGCAACUAAUUAUUUUUUGCCUCUAAAAUUAGUUUUUAUCUCAUAAUUGUCUUGUAGUGUAAAAUCCACAAACUUCAUUUGUCACAUCAUAAACUCGUUAAUAUUGUUCUGAGGAUGUUUUACAUGAUAUCAAAAAUAUAAUGAUGCAAUAGAACUACACAUUCAAUGAGGGAUGAAAUAUAGUUCUUCAUGACAUGAAAUGAAAAAUAUAUUUAACUCUUAUAUUUAUGAGAUGUUUUUUUAAUAAACUCAAAAAAAAUCUAUAAAAAAUUAAUAAAUCUUAUUUUAAAAAUCAAUCUUUGAUUUUAUAGUUGGGUAAACAAACUUUAAUUAAGAGUCUAACUUAUUAUGCAUAAAAGCCAUAGGAGUUGACUAUUAAAAACUAUUCAUUCACUCCAUCAAGAAAAGAAAACGUUAUUUUAUGAAUGGUUUGCAAUUAAUACAUGUAUUAAUGCCACAUCUAAGACAUGUACUUACAACUAUAUUUGAAAUAAUUAUGCUAUAGCAAAAAGGUACCAGCAAUAAUAUAAUAUAUUGUAGUUAAAAAAAAUAAGUUACUAAAUUAGAAACUUCAAAGUUAUAACCCGUUAUAACCAAACAAAUAUUAUAUUACAAUCAAUACAAUAUAUUUCAAUAAUGUAAUUAUUGAAAUUUUGGAAAGUUAUAUGUAUAAACAUUUUUUUUUUAAAGUAAUGCAGUGAUUGGGUUGAAAAUUUAGCUUUUAAGAAUAUUCAGAACUCUAAAGUUAUAGUAGUAGACUUGUUGCAAUUGAAUUUUAAACUAUUAAAAGAUAUUGUUUUGAAAAUUAAAUAAAACUAAAGGUUUGAUUAUUGUUUGUUGUUGGUAAAGUGUUUUAGGAAAGGAUUAAGUUAUUUUUCGAUUUGUAUAAUGGUUAAAAAAAGUGCAUAUUAUUUUAUUCUUUUUUUAAUAAAAAAUUAAUAAAUAGAAAAACUAAACAUUUUUAUAUUUUUUUUAUAUAAAUUGUUCAAGGCUGUACACUAAAAACUGAGGUUAUAUUUCACAACUGUUCAUACAUACGAAUAUAAAAUUAUUAGAAAUUAAAAAUCAACAAAAAUGCUUGUUUUUUAUUCUCUUUUAUUCUUUAGAUAAAAAUUGAUUGGUUUAAUUUUCUUAUUUAAAAAAAUAAAUACACUAAACUAAACCAAAUUUAUAUAAUUAUGACUUUACUUCAUUUAUUUUGCAAGCUUAGCUUGUAAAUGUUUCCACUCCUUUCUACUAAACAUUCUAGGUUAAUAUAUUAAUUAGUUGUAUCUAUAUCAAUAAUGUUCAAUUAAGAUAUAUAGGCACUUUUGUUUUGUAAAUUGUAAUAUGUAACAAAAGAAUAUAAACAAAGUAAUUUUUUUUAAAAACUAAUUAAAUCAAUUUAAUGAAAUAUAUAAAAAUUAAUUUUCUUCAAAAUUUAUUAUCUUUUUAACUAAUCAUAUUAUUGAUAUAAAGUAUUAUUAACUUUUUAUCAAUGACUUUUUCGUUAUAAUUUUUCAUCCAACGCUUCUUUCUUUCAUUAACAAAAUUCAAACUCAGAAAUUUACUUAAUAAGUUGAGUUUAGUAUUACUCAAACCAACAACACAAUUAUAAUGAGGGGUUGAAUUGAAAGCGGUUAAGUAACAGAAAUCCAAAAGCUAACCUAAUUAGUUUAUCUUAUAUAAAUUACAUUUUUAAAUGUAGAUUAAAAAUGUAUUAAUUUAAUGGAUGAUUUAAUUUCAUUUGUAAACUUUACUGACUUUUUAAAUCCAAAAUCUUAUUGGCCAUAAGCUUUUUGGUCUUCUAGCUUAAUGGCUCUCUGCUGGAAAGUGUGUUUAGUUCUUAAAAUUUAUAGGAAGAGUAUCUAGUUUUUGCAGGUUUGUGUGAGCCUUUUAUGUGCUCCCUGGUGAAUGGUCUUUAUGUAUACGGGUUGGGACACCCCUGAAGUGUCCCCUUUUUUCAAUUUAUUAAUUCUUUGCAGAUCAAAAAAAAAAUUGAAAUCUAGAUUGAUCCUUUAUGGAUUAAAGAAGAUAAAAAGAGAGACUUCCACUUCUACCUUCCACCCUUCAAAAUAGGAACUUCCAAGAUAUUCCAAGAUACUCUCCCUGCCCUUCCUUUUUAACAAUAACUUUUAAGACAAUGGUGAGGAUUCAAAUGCCAAUACAAAAAAUAAUAAUUAAAGGAACGAACCCUAUGUUUCAUCCAUAACCAUGAUCUAAGUUAUGUCCAAUGGAGAAUUUCUUCAGCAUCUGGUAUUCCUUGUUUAAAGAUAACCAAGUUUCGUAGCUCCCAAAUUCCCUUUACUACAGCCACCCAUAUGCCUUUCCAUACAGAUUCUGCUUAAUACUCAAAUAUGCUAAGUGGAAAUUCUAAAAGUGACACUUCAAAUCCUUAUGUUGGACAAAAAUGAUACCUAUCCACCUAAAGCAUAGAACCCACACUCGUUGCACAAUGGCACAUUCUAGGAAGAAGUGUUGAGAGGUCUCUUCCAAAGUUUGGCAACGCGCACAAAUAGAUUAACUAACUACCACUCGUCUUCUGAUAAGGUUGGUUCUUGUUGGCAUUCUAUCCAACAGUAUUCUCCAAGCAGUAGUUAAAACAUUAGGCAAUGCUUUACUCUGCCAUAACUGUUUAAAGAGUCCAUCAGUCGGGCCAUUGACUUGAUUAGCGAGACACACACGUAAGCUGACUUAACUGAGAAUUCCCUAUAGUAUCCCCUCCCCAAAGUUGGAGGUAUGAUUCCUCCAUAUUCAAAACUUCCUCAGAGAUGAACCUUGACAUUUAUUCUUCUUGUACAGAUUCCCAGUCAAACCUGACCCUCAUCCACCUCAACCUCUAAUACCAAACUACGUCUUCCCACACACCUACCUCACUCAUCAUCAUUCCCUAGUCCAAUGAUAUGGGAUACAACCUAAGGUACAAAUUAUCAAGUUUAUUAUCCAACAGUAUUCUCCAAGCAGUAGUUAAAACAUUAGGCAAUGUUUUACUCUACCAUAACUGUUUAAAGAGUCCAUUGGUCGGGCCAUUGACUUGAUUAGCGAGACACACACGUAAUCUGACUUAACUGAGAAUUCCCUAUCCCCUCUCCAAAGUUGGAGGUAUGAUUCCUCCCUAUUCAAAACUUCUUCAGAGAUGAACCUUGACAUUUAUUCAUCUUGUACAGAUUCCCAGUCAAACCUGACCCUCAUCCACCUCAACCUCCAAAACCAAACUACUUCUUCCCACACACCUACGUCGCCCAUCAUUAUCAUCAUUCCCUAGUCCAAUGAUAUGGGGUACAACCUAAGGUACAAAUUAGCAAGUUUAUUAUCACCAACCAAAACAUCCUCCCAGAAUCUUGUUCUGUUCUCAGAUCCAACUUUCCAAACUAAUGUUUUUUGGAACCAUCCUUGGUCUUCUCCGUCGCCACAUACUUUACUUAAGUAUCUCUACCACCAAGAUUUGAAUUUCACAUUGGUCUGGCUUCGCCAUGAUUCCAAGCCGUAUUUUGAUGCAAAAAUAUCUUCCCACUUUCCUUGUUCUUUUCUUACCAGCCACCAUUUCCAUUUUGCAAACAGAACACUGUUAACCAUUCUGGUAUCUCUAAUCCCCAACCCUCCUUCCUCUAAGGUUUACAUACAUUCUCCCAACUGACCCAGACUAUUGAUGUAUGAUAUCUUUCCCAUGCCCAAAGGAACCUCCUCUGGAUACUGAUUAUUCUAUUACACACUGAUGACGAAGCUUUAUAGAAGGAUAAAUAAAAUAGGGGUAAGACAGAAAAUACCAACUUAAUAAAGCAAAUUCUUCUCGCCAAAGAUAAGAAUCUUCCCUUCCAAGUACUCAACCUAACACUUAUCUCAUUCAAAAUUAGCUCCUAGAACUGCUUUUUCCAUGGGUUACCUCCUACUUCUAACCCCAAGUAAAUGAAAGGUAUCCUCAUGAGAGUACAAUUUAAAGAUUUUGCAUUUCAUUUAAGGGAAUUUCUCUCAACAUUUGAUUUGUGGAAGUUAAUUUUCAAACCAGCGACCAACUCAAAACACCUUAAUAUAGCUUUAAUUGCAAUGAUAUUGGAGAAGGAGUCUUCACACAUGACUAGAAUAUCAUCCGCAAAUUGUAACAUGCAAGAUUCAAUCUCACUCCUUCUCACCUUCACACCUUUAAGUAGAUUCUCCUUAAAGCGCUUGUCUAACUAGCCCGCCAAAGCCUCCAGCUACAACAAGAAAGAGGAACGAAGCUGAUGGAUCUCUCUGCCUGAACCCUCUAGAUGGAUAAAAUUCUGUCGUGGGGCUUCCAUUCACCAGAACUGAUACCGUUGCAGAGUCCAAGCAGUCUCUGACCCACUUGAUCCAUUUAUAGUGAAAGCUCAACCUGUGUAGCAUAUCAUAUAAGAAAUUCCACCUUAUCGAAUCAUAGUCCACCUUCAGACACAAUCCUUCCUUCGGUACUUCCUUAUCUCCUCAACCACCUCAUUGGCCACUAACACGCUAUCUAACGUUCCUUUGUCCUUCAACUGGAUGUCAUCAAUAGCCAUAGGUAGUACAUUCUUAAUCCGACAGUAUAACACCUUGGUAACAAUUUUAUAUAAAGCGCCCACUAGAGAUAUAGGUCUAUACUGAUCGAGAUUUAUGGGAUCUCUUACUUUAGGUACUAAGGUUAUAAAGGUUAUAAAAGAGGCAUUACAACCUUUCGGAAAGCAACCUGUUUCCUGAAAACAAAGCACUACUUCCAUGAUGUUGUGCUUAAGAGUAUCCCAGUUAUACUUGAUGAAGUUAAAACUAAACCCAUCCGGUCCUGAGCUCUUUGAACCUUCACACCGCCAAACCGCUUCCUUUACUUCUUCCUCUGUGACAUCAUAGAUCAUACUUAAACUAAGCUAACCUACAAAGGUAGAGGUAGUGAAUUGUUUUUCAAUCAAACUUAAAAGUACAAUUAAACAUAUAAAGAUGCACUAACAUGUUGUUUUGGUUGAAACUUCACUUAUUAAACAAUUAAUAUAUAUAUAUAUAUAUAAACUAAACAGUUUCAUAUUUUUUUUAAUAAAUUGUUCAAACUUUAUUGUAAAAAUUGAGGUUAGAUUUCACAAGUGUUCAUACCAACCUAAAGUAUUAUUAGAAAUUAAAAUUCAACAAAAAUGCUUGUAUUUGAUUCUCUUUUAGAUCAAACUUGAUUGGUUUAAUUAAAAAAAUCAAACACACUAAACUAAACCAAAUUUAUAUAAUUAUGACUUUACUUAAUUUAUUUUACAAGCUUGUAAACAUUCCUUUCUACUAAACAUUAUAGGUUAAUAUAUUAUUUAGUUGUUUCUAUAUUAACAAUGUUCGAGUAAGAUACAAGGCAAUUCUGUAUUGUAAAUUGUAACGUAAUAAAAGAAUAAAAACAGUUAAAGUUAAAAAAAUAAAAAAAACUAAUUAAAUCAAUUUAAUUAUAUAAAAAUUAUUUUUCUUCUAAAUUUAUUAUUUUUUUAUUUAAACAUAUUAUUGAUAUAAAGUAUUAUUAACAUUUAUCAAUGAUUAAUUUUUGUUAUAAAAUUUUACUGACUAUCUUUCGUAUGGUCUUUCAUCCCAAUGGUUCUUUGUUUCAUUAAUAAAAUUCGAACUCGAAAUUUACUUUGAGUAUAGUAUUACUCAAACCAACAACACUUAACUAUAAUUAACUUAACUAUAAUUAGGGGUUGGAUUGAAAACGGUGAAGUAACAAGAGGAAAAAUCCAAGCUAACCUAAUGGAUUAAAUUGAAAAUUAAAUUAAAUUUAUUUAAACUUAAACAAAUUACAUUUUUAACUGUAAAUUUAUUAAUUUAAUGGAUGAUUAAUUUGAUUUGAAAACUUUACUAAGACUUUCCAAGUCAAAAAUCUUAUACUUAAAAAGAAUAUUUAUUAAUUUAAUUGAUGGUUAAUUUGAUUUGAAAACUUUACUUCUUAAAAAGAAAUCCUAAACGAAAAGAAUGCAAUGCAAUCUAGAUCAGUUGUAUAUGGAUCAAAGAAGAUAAAAAUUUCAUAUUUCUUUCUAAUCUUUUGUAAUGAAGACAAAAGAAAAAAAAUAGAGUCGCCAUUUGUCAAAAGGUAGGCAUGCAUGGCUGUCGUGCUCGCAUUUGCUUACAAAAAUACUAGAUAUUUGAGCUUGAAAUAACUGAGUCUAGAGAAGACUCAUAAGUCUUCACAAUUAAUAGAAUGGAACCAAAAUGAGUCUGAGUCAUGUAAGCAUUGAGUAUUUAAUUCAAUCUUUGGAUUUUUGCGAUCUUCUUAUAUAGUCCAGCUUAUUCUGCCAUUGUUGGAUGGUUACAAAGCUUUGCUUCUCAUGCACAACAUCUGGUAUAGAAGAGUAGAAACCACUACAUGCAAUAUAACUUAAUUCAAAUGUUAUAAGCAUAAAUUAUUUUCUUUAAAACAAGACAGGGAAUGUGUAAAACAAUUUCAGUCACUCUUGCAUGCCAAACUUUUAUCAACACUCUUACUUACGUUAUACUUAGUGUCCAUGGCCAAAUCCAACUGCACUGCCACAACCACCACCACUAACUCCUAAGUUAUCACCACUAACUCCAAAGCCAUCACCACAACCAAAUCCGCCACCUCCACCUCCGAAUUCCUCCUCCUCCACCUACACCUCCUCUAAUUCCACCUCCAAUUUUGCAUAUAUGAAUUUGUUGAGAAACAUUUUUGGAGUGAUGACCAGUAUGUUUUACUUGCCUCUAUCAAAGGUAGUAAUUCUGAACAAAAUUGGGACCCUUUGAGAUAAGAAAAGUUGGUAGUGAUAAUGACAGAUUUUUUUUUGGAAAAAUAAAAUAAUGGUCUCCUCAAAUUCGCCUUUUGUAGGAGAAAGAGACCUCUUAAGUGACAACAUUGUAGUUCUUAAAUGACAAGUGUGUUAUGAAUGUUAUUAUUUCAUAGUAAAUGUGAAGACUUUUAAACAUUCAUCCAUCACAAUUUAUGUGUUUUUAAUCUUUAAAUAAUUUACAUACUUAUUAUGUAGGUGGAAAAUAAAGAAGUAAAAAAGAAAAUUCUAUAUUUAUUUUUAUUAUAAUAAAGUUUUUUAUUAUAUUUCUUUGUUACUGGCUAAAUGAAAAAGAUAAUAAAACAUGAGGGAGUAACUUAUUCAGUUCUUAUAUCUCUAAGAUACGACUUUAGGAAUUAUAAAUUGAAUUAAACUUAAUUAUAGUGAAUAUUAAUUAACAGUGUUUAAUUGAUGGGAAUCUUAAAGAAUCGAAAAUUGUAAUUUAUUGUGAGUAGGGUGCAUGAAGGAGAAAGAAAAGAAGUCAACCGAUAUGACCAUAAAUAUUGUGAUUCAACUAAUGCAGUGGUUUAUGGCAAUCAAAGAGAACUCGGCAAGGUCUCUGAAGAUGGACAGAAAGAUGCAGUCUAAAUUAAUGGUGCAUGUCAAGGUUUUUUAUGCCUUACGCAUGUGUGCAUGCAUCUAUAUAAAAUUAUUUCUCUAUUUUCUGUGUAAAAGGAAAUUGGUGUCUUUCUGUUAGAAUUUAUUUUUUAAAUUAUUCUUCGAUUUUCAUUUUUUUCAAUCUUAUCUCAGUGUUGAUGGGUGAAAUUAUUCAGUUUAGUUAAUUGGCUUGAUUAUACAAAGAGAACAAAAUAAUAUAAAAAACAAAGAAAACAUACAGAAAUACAGUUAAUAUACAUUUCUUUCUUUAUUUCUUUAUAUAUAUAUGUAUACAUGACAUGCUAAUUAAAACUUAAAUGAUAAAUAUUUUUACAAAAUUGUUAAAGAUGGAACUAUUUCAAAAAUAGAAGCAAAUGCUUGGAAUAAUAUAAUUUGAACUUAUUUCAAAUUUAAAAUAAUUAUAUAAUUUUUAUUUUAAAAUACUCAUAUCUUAAUCAACAGAAAGAGGCAAAGUUUGUAUUGUAGCGUUGAAGACAUGGCUCGGUGUGUGACUAAUUGAGACUACUGAAUAGAAAGAAUCCAUUUAAAAUGGGUGAUAAUAAAAGGGUAACAAGCGUAGUUUUCCAAAACAGGAAAAAGUCCAAAACAACAUAAAAGCUCUAUGUUGUCCCCAACUCUUUAUAAUAAUACACGAGGCCUUGAAGGAGAUUCAUGACUUUUUUGUUUCACUGUCUUCCUAUAUAUUAUGCAUUUGGUAUCUAUUAUAGGAGAAAAAACAUGAUUCCUCCAACCUUUCCUCUCCCUUCUUCCUUCUAUUCACAUCCAAGUUCAUACAAAACCCCAUAGAAAUGAGAGGUAGAGAUAUUCUCUAAAGCAACAAAACAAAAAAAGUUAUUAGAAAUUCAACAAGACCCUCCUCCUCCGUCUCCUCCUUCUCAACUCUCUUUUGCUUACAACCAUAAGAAAAAACUGGACACCUCAAAACCAAUACACUCCACCAUGAACAACAAAGCCCCAAGUUUUGAUGAUUCUAAUGUUGAUUGCAAUGUUUCCCCAAAUCAAUAUCUAAGACAACAACAUGGCCAACAACAGCUCAGAAGACAAGCUAGAAGAAGGCUUACUAAUAGGCCUUAUCAAGAAAAUCUAAUGAAUAUGGCAGAGGCAAGGAAAGAGAUUGUCACUGCCCUGAAAUACCACAGGGCAACCAUGAAACAGGCCAAUGAGCAUCAACAACUCCAACAACAUCAUCCACUGCCUUUCCAACCUCCCUUUUAUUCAAGGUUUAGCCCGGAUGGAAGAUUCAAGGCUAGCAGAAGGCCUAAGAUGUUUCUACCACCAUCAAACAAAAUUUCACUUUACUUAAAUGAUCUUUCCUUCUCCUCACCUUUCCCACCCCUUCCUUCUCUUCAUUUUCCUCCACCUCCUCUUCCUCUUCCUCCUCCUCCACUUUCAAAUUUAUACUCCAACACCAUUCCUUCCCCAUUUUCUCAUCCACCCCCUCAUCCAGAAACUCCCAAUUUCAUACUUCCAAAUCAGGCAUUCGGAUUCAAUCUUAAUCUACAUAGUUUCAACAGUUUAAAACCGCCCCUUUGCUUAAUAACAACACUUUAGUCCUUACCAUUUUGCUUAAUAACAACACUUUGAAUCCUACCCUUUUGCUUAACAACAACACUUUAGAUCCUACCCUUUUGUUGGAUAACAACAUGUUAGAUCCUACCCUUGUGUUGGAUAACAACAAGUUGGAUCCUAUCCUUGUGCUUAAUAACAACAUUUCAGAUCCUACCCGUGUGCUGAAUAACAAUAACAUUUUAGAACCUGCCAUUUUUCCAUACAACAAUAAAUCAUCACUGUGCUCUUACUCAUCUCCAACAUUAACUUUCCCUCCAUUUGUGACUGAUCAAGACGUUCCUUCGAUUGAAAUAUCACAGCCACAUGGAGAACGAGUUUCCACAAUGAUUAAUACCGUUGAAUCCAGUACUACAACCCAAGCUAGUGGAAGCAUGCAUGUGGCCAUGGAUGAAGAGGGCAUGGAAGAGAUCAGAGCAUUGGGCGAGCAACAUCAAAUGGAAUGGGAUGACAAUAUGAGUCUGGUCACUUCAGUUUGGAGGUUCAAUUGCUUACAUCAAAUGGAACAUAAUGCACUUGAAUUCAACAAUGAAGUUGAGAAAUGUCAUGGGACCUUUGAUGAUGAACUUGAAUUUUCUCUAUGGGAAAAUUAAUGAUCUGUAAGACAAGCUUACAAUAGUGUGCUCCCUGGAUUUAGUACAAGAUACCACUCUACUAUGGUAAGUUCUACGUAUCAUGUUUCGUUACUUUUGAAAAGAAAAUGUAUUGUGAGCAGGGAAAGUUAAUAAGGAUAAAAAUAAGUCAACUCAAACCAUCAAGGACAAUGUCACCAUUUGUCAAAAGGUAAGCAUGAAUAUUUUUUUCAGCAAUAAAUAAAUAAAAUAAAAUGAGACACUUCAGGGGUGUCCCAACUCUUAUACAAUCAACACCAUACCACAUACUAACCAAAUCAAAUGUACAGUUUUAGACUAUUACGAAGGAAGUACUAAAACUGCCUUUACUUGCAUAUCCUUAUGACUUAUACCCAAAAUGACCAAAACUACCCAAAUAAGUACCUAGCCCUGCACAUUCAAAAUGGUUCCAAAACAAAGGAAUAAUAGAUCUUGCAUAGAACUCUAGCCCUUGCAUUAAUACAAAACUACUACAGCGUUUUCAUCUUGUUGCAUAAUUGUAGCGUCAUAGCCUUCACAUAUGGAAUUUACCAUCUCCACAAUGGGCAAAUUCCUAGAACAUCAAUAUUGACGCACAUCCAGAAACCAACUCAACUCCUGCAAAAUAAACAAACCUCCAUAUUGACCUAUAGUCAAAGUUAAUAACACUUGUUUCACGCGUAUUCAACAAAAAGUACAAUAAAACAGUAUAAGCAAACAAAAUUACCUUAGCCACAAGAGCAUCAUUCCUGCUAAUGAACCCAACUUCAAUCUUUCUAUCUAAUAGAAGUUAAACAUGUCUUUGGAUCCAUACACCAUUGGGCAUAGGUAAAUGAGGCUAACCUCUCUUUACACGUAAUCCAUGCCCACACCUUGAGUUGAACCAAAAGUAAAAAUCUUUGAGCUAUCAACUCUACCAUUCUUAAAAAUUAUGAGAUUCCUUUGCUUCUAAAUUUUCCCAACCACAACAAUCCACACAUUUUCCCAGAUGUUCUUAAUCUUUUGUGUUGCCCAACCAAGUUUAAAUUGCAAAAAAUGGGAUAUGGAAUCCCAAUGGUACACCAUAAGCUCCCUUAUCCACUUACUACAUAAGCACCAAACCCUCCAAGCUACUUUACAUUUGAAGAACACAUGACUUCCGGAUUCCUCGACCUCCCCACACAUAACACAUAAGAUUUUUUCCAAAUUUACCCCUAUUUUCUCCAAGUUAACACAAGUCGGUAGCCUAUCCCCCAAAACUCUCCAAGCAGUUAUCAUUGAAAAAGGUAACGCCUUAAUGCUCCAAAAUGCCUCAUAGAGUGAUCUAAAACCCCACUUCUUGUGUCCUUAGACAUCUAUAUGUUGAACUUGCAUUUGAUCCCAUGCAUGGUUACCGGUGCUCGCAUUUGCUUACAAAAAUACUAGGAAUUUGAGCUUGAAAUAACUGAGUCCUAGAGAAGACUCAAAGGUCUUCACAAUUAAUAGAAUGGAACCAAAACGAGUCUUAGUCAUGUAAGCAUUGUGUAAUUAAUUCAAUCUUUUGGAUUUUUCCGACCUUCUUAUAUGGUCCAACUUAUUCUGCCAUUUUUUGGAUGGUUUCGUUUUAGCUCAAACUUCAAUUUCAUGUAUAACCAUUUGCUAUUCAUAUGCAAUUUCUAUCCUUCUAUUUGGUCAAGCUAACAUCAAGUUAAACAAAAACAAAAAUGUGUGUGCGUUGACAUGCAGGUUGCAAUAAUGCUCACAAAAAUGGAAAAGUACUUUGGAUAACACAUCAAAUUUACAUUAAAGAGAACCAUGAAAUAUAAGAAAUGUAUUAAUUGUACACAUUUUUCAACUAUGUUGAAUUUAUGAUCAUAGAUGAACUUAGGUUUAGGUUUAAAAUUAUUAUAACAGUGUAGUUAGGUAGGUGGUAAGACUAGGUUUGAACGAAGUGAUAGAGGUACCUAAGUUUUGCAUGUAUGAAUUUGUUGAGAAAUAUUUUUGCAGUGAUGACCACUAUCUUUUACUUGCCUCUAUCAAAGGUAGCAAUUCUAAACAAAAUUGAGACCCUUUUGAGGUAAGAAAAGUUGGUAGUGUUUAAAACAAUUAAACAAUAAUGGUCCACUCAAAUUGGUCGUUAUAGAAGAAAGACAUGUAAGGUUUUUAGGAUUGAAGAAAGUGGAUUCAAGUGUGAGUGAGUUUUUUGUGGGUGAGGGUUUUUCAUUUGUAUAUGUUUUUGUGGGUUUUUUGUGGUAUUAAGGGAUGUUUUGGUUGUAUUGUGUUUUGCCCUUAUAAGGAUCCUGACAGUGUAGUUGAUGUUUUCUUUUGAUAUGGCCUACCAUUCAUAUUCAUUAUUGAGGAUUGGUUGGACGGUUUCUUGAGCCUGAAGUUUGUUUAUAGGUCAGGUGUUAAGCAGGUUGGCCAUGAUCAUUUUUGUAUAAGGGUUGGGACACUCCUGAAGUAUUUGUAUAAGGGUUGGGACACCCCUAAAGUGUCUCAUUUUAUUUUAUUUAUUAUUUGCGGAUAAAAAAAUAGGAGAAAGGGACCUUACGAACUUGUUAGAGGUAAGAGGUGAGUGACAACAUUGUAGUUCUUAAUUAACAAGUGUGUUAUCAAUUUUAUUAUUUCAUAGUAGAUGUGAAGACUUUUGAUAAACUUAUCCAUCAAAAUUCAGUACUUAUUUUAUCUAUCAUUUCAAGGGUAAGAUGAUAAAUGAACAUUAAUAGUUUAAUGUCGUCUUGUGAAGAAAUCAAUUCAAACUUUAAGAAAUUUAUCUUCUAGCUUUUUUAAACAAUGUAGAUCUUGUAUGAAGGUAACAUCUGAAAGUCUCAUGCUCCCUCGUAUUAUAUCUUAUGAUUCUAUACUCUUUUGAAAUCAUGAUGAAAUUUAAAAGAAAUAAAUUUUUAGUUUUUAUAAUGACUUUAUUUAUUUUUUAUUUAUAAUGACAUCAUCCAUUUAAGAUUCACCACCCUCACAAACAUUCAUACUAGCACACUUUUCACUUUCCAUUCUAGAUUGACCACCCUCACAAACAUUGUCACAAACCCUUUAUUCACUCUCCAUUCCAGUCCUAACAUGCUCCACAUCAUCAGCUAGACAAUGAAAUUGAGUCACAGUCUAUGAAACAAUGCAAAAAGAAAAAAAAUACUUACUACAAUUUCAAAAUCAUGUUUCCACUUAGCACAACCAAGAAAAACACACUAUGACAAAGCACUAUUUUCUUAACCUUGCUUCCAAUUGCAACAACAAUGACACAAUUGCAAUCACUCAAUAUCAAACACCUUCUUAUACACUAUAAAUGAUUCAAACAUUUUCAGUCAAAUGCAAUCAUUCCUAGGUUUAAAAUUCAAAGUAAAAUCCACAAACCAUAUACUCCAUUUGUCACAUCAUAAACUCUUAAAUACCGUCUAUUAUUGAGGAAGUUUUACAUGACUUCAUAAAAUACAAUGAUGCAAUAGAACUACACAUUCUAUGAAGAACGAAAUACAAUUUUUCAUGGGACGAAAAACAUAUUUAACUCUUAUAUUAUUUAGAUUUUUUUAAUAAUCUCAUAAAAAAAUUAUAAUAAAUAAAUGAAUCGUAUUUUAAAAAUGAAUCUUUAAUUUUACAGUUAGAUAAACAAAUUUUAAAUAUGACUCUAAUUUAUUUUGUAUAGAAGUUGAAACUAUUAUAAACUAUUCCUAAGAAAAGAAAAUAUUAUUUUAGAAUGGUUUGGAAUUGAUAUAUGUAUCAAUGCUACAUUUAACGCGUCUACUUACAAGUAUCUUUUGAAAUAAUUAUGCUAUAGUAAACAAAUACCAGAAAUAAAAUAUAAUAUCUUAUAGUUAAAAAAAAUAAGUUACAAAAUUAGAAACUUCUAAGUUAUAACCAAACAAAUAUUAUAUUACAAUUAAUACAAUAUAUUUUAAUAAUGUAAUUAUUAAAAUUUUUGAAACUUUUAUAUAUAUAUAUAUAUAUAUAUAUUUGUUUUUAAAGUAAUACAGUAGCUGGAUUGAAAAUUUAGCUUUUAAGAGUAUUCAGAACUCUAAAGUUGUAGGUACAUGUCGCAAGUGAAUAUGCUGACAAGACUGAGUUAUUAGGCUUUAAAUAACACCUAUAUAAAAAAAUAUGUAUAAAUUGAAUAACAUCAUUUUAAACUAUUAAAAGUUGAAAAUUAAAUAAAACUAAAGGUUUUAUUAUAUUUAUUCUUUCAGUAGAAUUGUCUGAUUUAGUUUUGCAAAAUAAAUUAAACCAAAUUUAUAAGUUACAAAUUUGAAGUAUUCAUGAAAGGAUUAACCAUAAUGUUGUUUUGGUUGAAAUUUCAUUUUAAGUUGUUUCAUUGCUCCAUUAUGAAGUCAUUAAUUGAUAGACAAACUAAACAUUUUCACAUGAUGGGUAACUGAUAAAAUGAUAUGUUAGAUUUUUUCAACGUGAUUAAGUUUAUUGAUAUUAAUACUAAUAUUGGUAAAGUUCUUCUUCCUCUUCGUGUGAGAUGAGAGUUUCCUUCACCAGGCUAGAUUAAAAUUAACACUGAUGGGGCUGCUAGGGAUAUCCUGGUUUUGCUACUUGUGGAGGUAUUUUCUGUGGGAAUUUAUUGGAGCUUUCUCUGCGUUUCUUGAAGUUCAGAUUGCUCUAAUUGUUGAGUUUUAUGAGGUUAUACAUGCUAUGGAGGAAACUCAAAAGAUGGGGCUUACCAAUGUCAGGUUGGAAUGUGAUUCUGCUUUGGUUUGCUGCGUUUACUGCUAGGACAAAUGUUCCUAGGAUGCUUCGAAAUCGAUGAAAUAUUUGUCUUAAUUACUGUGGGAAAAUCAGGUUUAGGAUUACUCAUAUUUUUCGUGGAGUGAAUGUUCAUGCUGAUAAGUUGACUAAUUUAGGAUUUAUUCAUAGAAAAUAAUUUCAUUGUUUUUUUUCAUAAGCAACAUUGGUAUAAUAAGUUUUCAUCUAAUCUAUUAUUAGAAUUCUUUAUUAAUAGGUAUAGUCUAUCUAUGUAUCGUUUUUGUUAACAUAUGAGUUUUGGCCUAGUCCCUUCAUAUUUUUGUAUUUUUUUUAAUAAUACUUUUUUCAUGUGAUGAUAGAUGAUUGUUUUUACUUGAGAUGUCAGUCUAGCUGAAAUGUUAAGUUGCAUAAAGAUAUCUAAGAUGAAAGCAUUUUUAUAAAACUAAACACUUUCAUAUUAUCCUUUUAAUAAAAUUUUCAAACCUGUAUACUAAAAACUGAGGUUAGAUUUCAUAAUUCUUCGUAGUUGAAUCACACCAACCUAAAAUAUUAUUAGAAAUUAAAAUUCAACAAAAAUGCUUGUGAAUAAUAUCUUUCAUUCUAUAGAUCAAAAUUUAACACAGUAAACUAAACCAAAUUUAUAUAAUUAUGACUUUACUUCAUUUUUUUACUUGUAAAUGUUUCCAUUCCUUUCUACUAAACAUUCUAAGUUAAUAUAUUAGUUGUGUCUAUAUUAAUUAUGUUCUAUUAAGAUAUAUAGGCAAUUCUGUUUUGUAAAUUGUAACAAGUAAUAAAGGAAGGCUGAUAAAAAAUUGUAAUAAUAAAUAAAGUUAAAGUUAAAAAAAUAAAAAAAACUAAUUAAAUCAAUUUAAUGAAAUAUAUAAAAAUUAGUUUUUUUUAAUUUAUUAUCUUUUAACUAACCAUAUUAUUGAUAUAAAGUAUUAUUAACUUUUAUAAAUGACUAAUUUUUAUUAUAAAUUUUCACUAAUUAUUAUAUUUGAUAUUUUUUUUAUUAACAAGAAAUAAUUAAAAUAAAUCGACUCACUUAAGGAUGGUCAAACUAUCAUACAGAGUAAGAAAGGACAAAUAUUUUCACAUGCACAUAAAAAAUCAUAAAGAAAUCUUCUACCGCCUUUUUCAACACUACCUACUACAAAAGAAACAAAAAAAAUCGAGAAACAAUUCUUAUAAUGACAUUAAAUUGAAUACAUACCUACCAAGAAUAUCUUUGAAGCAUCAAAGACCAAACCUUAAUUUGUGUUAGAAAAAAAACUUCAGUAUGAUUGAUCACUCCACCUUUACAUAAACAAUUAUUUAUGUGUCUUCAAAUCUCGCUAACCUGUAAUAGGAUUAACAGAGGUGAAAACAUCCAGAAUUUUGAAACGUUCAAAAUGUGACCCAUCAGCCAGUGAGACAAUGGGGGAUAAGCUUCAUAGUCAAGAGGGAAACAGUCCGGACCGCUAAGUGAUAAAGGAGGUACGGGUGCAGAGACAACUAGGAGGUUUGUCUAGGAGUAGCCACCCUUGAAAGAGUGCGGAAUAGCUCGAGGACUCUUGCGCCGAGGAUGAAUGGACUAAGCGACCUACUGAAGCUAUAGGAUGUCAAAUUGAAUCGGUAGGUAAAGAACGAUACGAUCUACCGAACUCACUCUUAACCAAUAGUAACAAAGAUUCCAAAUUAGUCAAACAACUCUACAUCCAAAAAAUAAAUAAUUCGUUGACUCUCUAAUAUCCUGCACAAGCAACAAAUAUUGCUCUCUACCGCUAUCUCUCGUCCCUCCAAAUAAACUAUCUUAUUUGUAAUAACCCUCCAAGUUGUCACAUGAGUUGAAGGAAGUGCCUUUGCUUUCGUCGUCAAUCAACCGCACCUCACCCCUCACCUUAUUCCUCAUCAACCUGCACUGUCCCUGCCACCGCACACCCGCCGCGCACCUCCGUACCGCCGCCGCACCCCGAUCUCGCGCCUGCGCCGUCCGCCGCGACGCGCAGCCCCAGCUCCCGCAACAGCGCCAGCGCUGUUCGCCGACACACGCGACUCCAACGCUGCCCCCGCUACCGCACCACCGCCAACCUCCGUCCCCGCGCUGCCGCCUUUGACGUCUUCAAGAACGUGUCUUUUUCGGAACCCCCAACGUUUUCCUCCGCCGCGUCGCGAGCCAUUCUCGGCAUCGCAGAGAGUUCCGCUCCAACAGGCACUCUGUCUUGCUCACCUUCUGAUUCUCCGCCGUGACCUCCACAGGCAUCGCCGCCUCCCAUCCUGUUCGCCGCUCCUCCAGACCAAACCCUAACUGUAUAGCCACGUCAGCAAUUAGGUAAAAAAUUAGGAUUUUCCCAUCCAACAUUUUGUACCCAAUUGGGCCUGAACCGGCCCACUACUACACAUUAAGUGAUUUGCCCAUAUUUCAGCAGGAACCAUCCACGUUUUUCAAUUUAAUAUUCCUCUCUUUCCUUAAUUCCAAAGUUAGUUUUGAGUCUUUCCAGCAGAAUUAAUUCCUCCACUAAAGUAUAUGCCACCUUUUCAAUACUCUCCCUUCAUCGGAAACUGAAGAGGCUUCUCCUUUCAUCCAAUGCUUCUUUCAUUAACAAAAUUCAAACUCGAAAUUUACUUAAUAAGUUGAGUUUAUUAUUACUCAAACCAACAACACUUAAUUAUAAUGAGGGGUUGAAUUCAAAGAGGUGAAGUAACAAAAAUAUAAAUCCAAGCUAACGGAUUAAAUUGAAAACUAAAUUACUUUAACAU